CGACCGCUGGCGGCGUGCCUACUACAUGCAAGUCGAACGCUUCUUUCCUCCCGAGUGCUUGCACUCAAUUGGAAAGAGGAGUGGCGGACGGGUGAGUAACACGUGGGUAACCUACCCAUCAGAGGGGGAUAACACUUGGAAACAGGUGCUAAUACCGCAUAACAGUUUAUGCCGCAUGGCAUAAGAGUGAAAGGCGCUUUCGGGUGUCGCUGAUGGAUGGACCCGCGGUGCAUUAGCUAGUUGGUGAGGUAACGGCUCACCAAGGCCACGAUGCAUAGCCGACCUGAGAGGGUGAUCGGCCACACUGGGACUGAGACACGGCCCAGACUCCUACGGGAGGCAGCAGUAGGGAAUCUUCGGCAAUGGACGAAAGUCUGACCGAGCAACGCCGCGUGAGUGAAGAAGGUUUUCGGAUCGUAAAACUCUGUUGUUAGAGAAGAACAAGGACGUUAGUAACUGAACGUCCCCUGACGGUAUCUAACCAGAAAGCCACGGCUAACUACGUG
rnacentral:rRNA from 1 species